rnacentral:rRNA from 1 species
ACGCACGCUGGCGGCGUGCUUAACACCUGCCAGUCGAACGGAAAGGCCCUGCUUUUGUGGGGUGCUCGAGUGGCGAACGGGUGAGUAACACGUGAGUAACCUGCCCUUGACUUUGGGAUAACUUCAGGAAACUGGGGCUAAUACCGGAUAGGAGCUCCUGCUGCAUGGUGGGGGUUGGAAAGUUUCGGCGGUUGGGGAUGGACUCGCGGCUUAUCAGCUUGUUGGUGGGGUAGUGGCUUACCAAGGCUUUGACGGGUAGCCGGCCUGAGAGGGUGACCGGCCACAUUGGGCCUGCGAUACGGCCCAGACUCCUACGGGAGGCAGCAGUGGGGAAUAUUGCACAAUGGGCGGAAGCCUGAUGCAGCAACGCCGCGUGCGGGAUGACGGCCUUCGGGUUGUAAACCGCUUUCGCCUGUGACGAAGCGUGAGUGACGGUAAUGGGUAAAGAAGCACCGGCUAACUACGUG